rnacentral:lncRNA from 1 species
GUGAAAAAUUACAAAAAAUGGACAAUGCUUGGGUGGAAUAUCAAUUGAUACGCUGUGUCAUCUUCUCUAUCACAAUUCACAAUCCCCUGCAGAUAUUUCCUAUUUCAGUUCCCGCGCCCCGUCCCCCACACGCAGUCACACAGAAUGGCAGCGGCAGUGAAUUGCUACCUCUCAGUGACUUCAACAGCCACACCCACAUCUCAAGAUUCUCCACAGCCAGCAAUCACGAGGCCGCCGACCAAGAUCAUACUGCCCAAGAAAAAGCCUAUGAAAUGGUCUACAGGGGUGGCUCCGGGUGAGUAUGGGGGCCCACCCACCACAACGAAGCUCAGGAAAUACUGGGGUGGAGAUGAGGACCCUCUUGCCUCUGAUGAAUACUUGUGGAACAAAGACUUCAUGGGUCGAAUGAAAAAGUUCAUUCAAGACCCCGUCGAUGUCGACACUAAUUCUGACCCUCGAUUCUCAUCUGCGAAGGUCCAGUAUUUGGCCAAUUGAUUAUUUUUGGUUUGUCAUUAUCUGGGUUUUUUUGAGUGAUUUAUAUUGUGGGUUUUAUUUUUGCUGUUGCUUUUGUAUGAGAAAUUAGUAAAAAUGGGGAAUUUUUAGCGCUCAUUGAGAUUAAUUGUUUUGGAAUUUGGAACUUGGAUAAUACUGCUUGUUGAACAUUGUAUAGGGAUGUCUAGUGUCAUUUUUUUCCCCUUCUUUUCAGAGAGAAUUUCUAGAAUGUUCUGCUUGUCUAAUUAAUUGACUGUUCUACGAAGUACUGCUGAUCUAAUUUUUUGGUUUCAUUCCGAAACUGUUUGUUCUGAUUUUACCACAGAUUGAAUUUUUAUUGCUUUUAGUUGAUAAAUAUAUUGUCCAGGUAUCAGCACUGAAUUUGGUAAAUUAUACUGUUUUGGUAUGUUUCUGAACAGGAAGAGCCUUGUGGAUUUCUUAGCUUGAACAGAGUGAUGAGCUUGGACAGGUACACAACCUUUUAUUUUUGGAAAUUGUUAUUUUAUUUUGUCUUGAAUUCCUAUACUGCUUUCCCGUGUAAUAGUCCCACUCUUUGAGGAUGCAGUUUGGAAAUUGACUUGAGCAAAGAGUUAACAGCGACUUCAAGAUCUGCGGUUGAACCACGAGUUGAAGAAAUUCAAGUGUGACAGAUUUUAAGUUCCCUUUGAAAAAAUGGUCUGUAAAACUAGUUUGCAUUUGUUAUUUUCCAUACUCAUCAGGAUUGAAAUGAUUUGUAGAGUAAUAGCAUUGCUUCUCGAAAAUGGAGACCAGCCCCAACACGACGUGAGCUAGAGAAGUGGGACAGAGCUACUAAAGCUGCAACUGGAGGCAGUGUGUGUAGUUUCAUUUUGGACAUGCAAUUUUCUUCUCAUCUUAUAUGCUUAAACUUCUGUUUGCUUAAAACAAAUUGCUGAUUUUCGAGCUGAAUAUAUAUAUAUAUAUAUAUAUAUAUAUAUAUAUAUAUAUAUAUAUAUAUAUAUAUAUAUAUAUAUAUAUAUAUAUAUAUAUUGUAUUUUUUAAGAAUCCUUUUACGUUAAUCCAAGUUUUCUUGUUCUGCAGGAAGUGAUGUUUAGGGAAUCAAAGCGUCCCAGAGGGGACCCAGAAGUGUUGGCUGCUCAGUCAAGGGAACAGUACUAUAAGGUUUUUUGAAGAAAAUAUUAGCUUCUACAUCCUUAAGAUCUUUAGUUGGAAGUUCCAAUCUCUCCUUUUAAUGUUUUUGCAGUUGAAGAAUAAAUUGCAGUUCCUCACACUGGGCAUUGGUGGUGUUGGUGUAAUCUCAGCCUAUUGUUCUUAUUCUCCUGAAAUUGCAGCAAGGUAAGCACCUUGCUAGGAUGCGUUUCAGAAUUUUUGUAUGACUACUACUUCAACCUUGUGAAAUUAAUCUGCAUUAUAUUGAUGAUUUGUGAAUGAGA